GCCAGACUCCUACGGGAGGCAGCAGUGGGGAAUAUUGGGCAAUGGGCGCAAGCCUGACCCAGCAACGCCGCGUGAAGGAAGAAGGCUUUCGGGUUGUAAACUUCUUUUCUGAGGGACGAAGAAAGUGACGGUACCUCAGGAAUAAGCCACGGCUAACUACGUGCCAGCAGCCGCGGUAAUACGUAGGUGGCAAGCGUUAUCCGGAUUUAUUGGGUGUAAAGGGCGUGUAGGCGGGAAAGCAAGUCAGAUGUGAAACCUCAGGGCUCAACCCUGAGCCUGCAUUUGAAACUGUUUUUCUUGAGUGCUGGAGAGGCAAUCGGAAUUCCGUGUGUAGCGGUGAAAUGCGUAGAUAUACGGAGGAACACCAGUGGCGAAGGCGGAUUGCUGGACAGUAACUGACGCUGAGGCGCGAAAGCGUGGGGAGCAAACAGGAUUAGAUCCCCCGGUA
rnacentral:rRNA from 1 species